UACAAUGGCUUUCAUCAUGCUGUUUGGGCUGAUCUAUGCUCUGGAUCUCAGUUUCCCAGACAAGCUGAAAUACACUUUUGAGUUUGUCCAGAAAAUACUCGUGAAUCUUGAUGGAGACAGGCUCAACAAGAAAAUACAGUAGUUGAAAAUCAAGCUGUUCAUGUGAAAGGAGGAACGGGUGACCAAGAACACUGGGACCACGGACGUAAUUUGGGGGGGGGGACACAGGGGACAUGUCCCCUGCGCUUUUUCAAAAGGCCGUUCUGGUCCCCUGCAGUUUUCACCGUCCGGAAACCAUGUUACGCUAUGGUAAACAGAGACUCGUCAGGCACUAGGACCAAGCGGAAACGGCCGCUCGAGCUGAAGCCAGUUUGCUUUCGUUUAGACCUGCCCACAAGCUCCUCCAUUGGCUCUGCAUUCCUUGUGUGAUUGGCCGUCCCCGCUGUCACUCCAUCAGGUUAUAAACAGCACCAGUACGCACACCGGUCUGCCAGUUGGGGAGGAGGCCGUGUUAAUCUUCCGCUGCGCAGCCAGGAUGUCUAAAAAAAGAAAAGUGGACAUAAGAGACUUCUUUCAAAGUCAAAGUGUAAGUUACUCAAAGAAAUGCGUUACACCAUCCUGCGACACCUUCACUGGCUCCCAAUAAAGCAGCACGUCCACUUCAAGAUCCUCCUCAUCAAUUACAAAGCUCUCAGUAAUCUUGUAAAGUGUAUUUGAGUUUUAUUGAAAGUGCUGAUAUAUAAAAUGUAUUGUUGUUAAAAAAAGGCGUGAAAAUUUCUGGAAAAUGUACAUGUGUUUGGAAGCUUCAUGUAGCUGAGAAGCCGCAAAUAUACUAACUGAGGCUGGUGGAUCUGUUAACCUCGCCACUGUGUGAAAGAAACAAAGAGAUAACAAAUACAGUGUUAUCAGACAAACCGUGUAAUUAUAAAUAUACACCCUUUCACACCUUAAUUGCCACGAUCAUCCUGUAAGGCUUAACAAGACGAGAAACUACUAUAACUGCCUAAAAUGACAGUGGUUCUGUGUUACAUUCAUUUUAAAUAAAUUUGAUCACUUGACUACUUA